CAAGAGGAAAUUGGUGAAUUUCAAGUAAUCAAGCAAUCAAAGGUGGUGAAUCCUCCGAAAAAGGGUAAAAAAAUUGCACCCGAGGAUCAAUAGUCAGAGUACUCCAAAAUCCGAACUCUUGACAUACUUGCUGCAGUGGGCGGGUUUUAUGGACCAGCCUAUUAGAGGGGCAUAGAAUCUGGUUAUAUUCGUACCUCGAUCGAAGAGGCGCGUAGGGUAUCUCCUGAGGUAUGGUUAGAGUUCACGUCACGCCGAACCACCUCAUGAUGAUGAACU
rnacentral:sRNA from 10 species